AUUGAACGCUGGCGGCAGGCCUAACACAUGCAAGUCGAACGGCAGCACAGAAGAGCUUGCUCUUUGGGUGGCGAGUGGCGGACGGGUGAGUAACACGUAGGAAUCUACCCAGUAGUGGGGGAUAACCUGGGGGAAACCCCAGGCUAAUACCGCAUACGCCCUGAGGGGGAAAGCGGGGGAUCUUCGGACCUCGCGCUAUUGGAUGAGCCUGCGUCGGAUUAGCUAGUUGGUGGGGUAAGGGCCCACCAAGGCGACGAUCCGUAGCUGGUCUGAGAGGAUGACCAGUCACACCGGAACUGAGACACGGUCCGGACUCCUACGGGAGGCAGCAGUGGGGAAUAUUGGACAAUGGGCGCAAGCCUGAUCCAGCCAUGCCGCGUGGGUGAAGAAGGCCUUCGGGUUGUAAGCCUUAGGUGGGAGGAAGGCGAUUCAUGCUAAUACCAU
rnacentral:rRNA from 1 species